UAAAUUUUGUUAAUGUUUUUUGUUUUUUUGCAUGGGGGACCCACCUUUAUCCCCCUCACCCUUCUUCCCUGCACCCUCUUCUCCUAACCCAAAACUAGAACCACCCCAAACCCAGGUCCCACCCACCCCAACAUCCUCCCCCACCCCCCACCAUUACCAUUUGCUGCACCAGCUCCUACAACACCUACUACUGCACCUGAACCCACCACCCCUACCCUCCACCAACCAUUGACCCACUUCUCCAAGCCCUUACUUCUCAACUCCUCCAAUCCACCUCAUCAGAUCCCUACUCCCCCCCUCCCCAAAAUCUUCGCCCUAAAAACCCUCACCACACCCACAAUGCCCACCACCCAAAACACCGUUUCUACCAACAACCACAACAAGACCAACUUAUCUCCUCCCUCUUUUCCCGCAUUGAAGUCCUCGAAUCCUCCAUCCACCACUACUCAUUCUCUACCUCGCACUGCUCUCACUCUCCGUACUCAUGUUCUCUUAGAAACUCCGCCGUCUGAGUGAUUCAAACCCACUUUCGUUGUAACGACCCAUCCCAAAAAAUUACGGUUUAUUUUAAAAAGUGAAAUUAUGAAAAUGCCCUUUGAGGCAAAUGUAUUGAUUUUAUUUGACCGCCUUGUCGUGUCACGUAAGAUCCGUUUUCUUGGCGUAUCCUCGUAGUACUCAUCGCUACGAUCGUGCGGACGCGAAGGGAACGUAAUUUGGAGUUAUAACGAAUGAGUUAUUAACGAAUGAAGUUGAGGGCAAAAUGGUCAAUUGAUCAUUUUUUGGAAGGCUCCAGAUUGUUGGAGAAACAAAAUCUGGGAAGCCACGCAUGUGGCUGUAAUGGAAAGAUAAAGAGACAAAAGAGGGUGGGUGCUGCUUAAUCAAGAAAAAGGAGAAGAUAAUGAACAAAUGAUAAGAGAUAGCAAAGAGGGAAAUGAGGGAGAAGAGAAAGAAGGGAAUUGGCCAGGUUCCCCUUGACCUGUGUGACCGACUCGGUUUCCUUGGAGUUUCCCGAUGUUUUCUAUCCAAUUUUGCGGCUUUCUUCAACCUCCCAUAACCACCAAACCUCAUCUUAACACCUAAUUCUAGCCAAACCCGACGAGUUUUAGCCCCAAUGUGCGAGAAAACCCACCGGCGGGUACAUGUGGUUCUUGGCUUUGAACCACCAUUUGUGAAAUGAUUUCUUUCAAUCUCCACCACCAUUACACUUUCCUUGAACCUAGGAACAAAGCCCAAACAACCGUGGAGAUGGCGAAUGACUGGAGGUGAUGGAUCAAAGCACACCAUUUUUAGGAUUUUCGGCGGGUUCGAGGGAAAUUGGGGCUUUCCCAGCCAAAUUAGGCUUAGUCACAGAGUUAGGAUCGAGGCACAUGAUCCCGGCGUCAAGGCACUUCAACAUAGGUAUCCUCAAGUCUUUUCCGUAUCUCGAAUCCUAGUUCGCGAAUCCAUCAACUCAGCCAUCACGACCCAACGAAUCGAUCAUAUUAAUGUAAUUAUUCAAUGACUUGCUGCCCAAAUUGAUCAUCUUGGCGUCAUAGUUGAAGGUGAAGUUCUAGAAGACAGAGACGUGUGUGUGAAGUUCUGGAAGACGAGGCUGCACUACGCCUUAAUUUCACAUUGGUCGUCCUCGCAUAGAUGGGCAAGGAAGGGAGAGUUCGUGACAUAGAGUGCUGAGAAGUUGAAGUUCUCGAAGACGAGCUCAUCGAUGACACGUUGGAUGGAGGGGAGGCGAAGAGGGCCUCCGUCAAGAGAAGGAACGACAGGGCAGGGUUGACCCAGAGGAGGGAGGAGAUCUGGUGCGGCGGGGUGUGUAAUCGAAUAGAGGAUUCUGUGUAGUUUUUAGGUUUUUUAUUUUUUACUUUUUAGCCAAAAUGGUCCAUAAGAUUUGCAUAACACAUCACUUUGGUAACUGAGAUUGAAAAUCAAUAGAAAUGGUCAUUGAGAU